rnacentral:rRNA from 1 species
UACGUAGGGGGCUAGCGUUGUCCGGAAUCAUUGGGCGUAAAGAGCGUGUAGGCGGCCCGGUAAGUCCGCUGUAAAAGUCAAAGGCUCAACCUUUGAAUGUCAGUGGAUACUGCCGGGCUAGAGUCCGGAAGAGGCGAGUGGAACUCCUGGUGUAGCGGUGGAAUGCGCAGAUAUCAGGAGGAACACCCGUAGCGAAGGCGGCACUCUGGGCCGGAACUGACGCUGAGGAGCGAAAGCUAGGGGAGCAAACGGG